UAGAGUUUGAUCCUGGCUCAGGACGAACGCUGGCGGCGUGCCUAAUACAUGUAAGUCGAACGAAACUUUCUUACACCGAAUGCUUGCAUUCACCGUAAGAAGUUGAGUGGCGGACGGGUGAGUAACACGUGGGUAACCUGCCUAAAAGAAGGGGAUAACACUUGGAAACAGGUGCUAAUACCGUAUAUCUCUAAGGAUCGCAUGAUCCUUAGAUGAAAGAUGGUUCUGCUAUCGCUUUUAGAUGGACCCGCGGCGUAUUAACUAGUUGGUGGGGUAACGGCCUACCAAGGUGAUGAUACGUAGCCGAACUGAGAGGUUGAUCGGCCACAUUGGGACUGAGACACGGCCCAAACUCCUACGGGAGGCAGCAGUAGGGAAUCUUCCACAAUGGACGCAAGUCUGAUGGAGCAACGCCGCGUGAGUGAAGAAGGUCUUCGGAUCGUAAAACUCUGUUGUUAGAGAAGAACACGAGUGAGAGUAACUGUUCAUUCGAUGACGGUAUCUAACCAGCAAGUCACGGCUAACUACGUGCCAGCAGCCGCGGUAAUACGUAGGUGGCAAGCGUUGUCCGGAUUUAUUGGGCGUAAAGGGAACGCAGGCGGUUUUUUAAGUCUGAUGUGAAAGCCUUCGGCUUAACCGGAGUAGUGCAUUGGAAACUGGAAGACUUGAGUGCAGAAGAGGAGAGUGGAACUCCAUGUGUAGCGGUGAAAUGCGUAGAUAUAUGGAAGAACACCAGUGGCGAAAGCGGCUCUCUGGUCUGUAACUGACGCUGAGGUUCGAAAGCGUGGGUAGCAAACAGGAUUAGAUACCCUGGUAGUCCACGCCGUAAACGAUGAAUGCUAGGUGUUGGAGGGUUUCCGCCCUUCAGUGCCGCAGCUAACGCAAUAAGCAUUCCGCCUGGGGAGUACGACCGCAAGGUUGAAACUCAAAGGAAUUGACGGGGGCCCGCACAAGCGGUGGAGCAUGUGGUUUAAUUCGAAGCAACGCGAAGAACCUUACCAGGUCUUGACAUCCUUUGACCACCUAAGAGAUUAGGCUUUCCCUUCGGGGACAAAGUGACAGGUGGUGCAUGGCUGUCGUCAGCUCGUGUCGUGAGAUGUUGGGUUAAGUCCCGCAACGAGCGCAACCCUUGUUGUCAGUUGCCAGCAUUAAGUUGGGCACUCUGGCGAGACUGCCGGUGACAAACCGGAGGAAGGUGGGGACGACGUCAAGUCAUCAUGCCCCUUAUGACCUGGGCUACACACGUGCUACAAUGGACGGUACAACGAGUCGCAAGACCGCGAGGUUUAGCUAAUCUCUUAAAGCCGUUCUCAGUUCGGAUUGUAGGCUGCAACUCGCCUACAUGAAGUCGGAAUCGCUAGUAAUCGCGAAUCAGCAUGUCGCGGUGAAUACGUUCCCGGGCCUUGUACACACCGCCCGUCACACCAUGAGAGUUUGUAACACCCAAAGCCGGUGGGGUAACCGCAAGGAGCCAGCCGUCUAAGGUGGGACAGAUGAUUGGGGUGAAGUCGUAACAAGGUAACC
rnacentral:rRNA from 2 species